rnacentral:rRNA from 1 species
UACGUAGGGUCCGAGCGUUGUCCGGAAUUAUUGGGCGUAAAGGGCUCGUAGGCGGUCUGUCGCGUCGGGAGUGAAAACUCAGGGCUCAACCCUGAGCGUGCUUCCGAUACGGGCAGACUAGAGGUAUGCAGGGGAGAACGGAAUUCCUGGUGUAGCGGUGGAAUGCGCAGAUAUCAGGAGGAACACCGGUGGCGAAGGCGGGUCUCUGGGCCGAUACUGACGCUGAGGAGCGAAAGCGUGGGGAGCGAACAGG